UCGUAGAACGUGCCAUGACUUCUUGCUCCUUCAACUUGAUGCUCUCUCGCUGACAAUAUCAGGAGAGCUAGACCACACGUCCACCAACAGAGAAUGAGCCAGCUGAGCUGCAUGGCCACCUUCCUCUUCUUCAUCUCCGUAAUACUGAGGUUCGAAACUACACUCUCGACUGUCCUGUUUAUUCUACAAUGCCGAGAUAUCCAGGCUUCUUAUGCACAUCUGCAGAGUGAGGAUGCCGUAUCUGCAUCCGAGGAUGAAGUGUUAAUUAAAUAAAAUAAUAAUAAUCAUAUUAGAAGAACAAGAACUAGGGUAUCUCCGAUUUUACGACUGUGUACACUUGUUGCCAUCUCGAGUCCAGUAAAUUCCUCUGAACCAAUACAGUUGAACAGAGACAGGGGCUGUGAGAAGGGUCGGGUAAUUUCCUACUCUAGUCCCUAGUUCUGCUCAUAUGCUGCAGGGUUAUUGUCCUUUGAGAUAUCAACAGUGACUGUUGAUUGUUGCCAAUCUAUGCGCAGCACGUUGACGUUUAUAAUUUUAACUGAAAAUGUCGUGGACAUGGGUGCCUCAACUUUGGAUGUCAUAUUUCUUGGAUGUUGAUGCAAAUUGCAUGCGUAUUAAGCGUACGUUGAUUCGGCUAAGUUUUCACUAAAUGGGUCGUUUCCGGAGUGCGCAGGACAGCUAUACUUGAGACCCUCGUGAGAUGGUGCGAGUGGUCACAAUCAUACAGUUUUGUGGAGAUAAUUACGCUAAUAACUGAUAAAAUGCUAGAAAAGAAUAAUUUGAUGAAGAUAUCUUACGAUGUUAGCAAUGUAUCUGAUACAAUGGUAUUUCCAUUCAUUGAAGCAAUAUCCAGAAACUUGAGUGCAAAGCUACUGACAAUGAUGCUAACCACGACCUGACAACACUUAAUCAAUAAGCUAAGAAGUACGAAAGAGAUCAAGAAGGGCUCCAGACGCUGCGGUGUUUUUUAAUUCGUUCAGAUACUUUUUUGAGCCAGGUAUCUAACCACAAAACGACAAGCUAGCAUGUUUGCCAAAUUGAUCAUGGUCGGAGUGUUCAACACAUCACUGCAAUUAAAGAGAAAGACAAGCUGUUGAAGACCAGGGAGUGUGGUUAGCCCCUCUACCAAAGACAAGCGUGGACAGCUGCUUGCAAUCCUGUAGUGUACAUUAGAGCUGGUAAGGCACCAAAGUUCCGUUUCGAUAUAAGACACUUUGAUGGUACAGCACUGGCAGCGGCCAUCCAUUCAAUCCUUACACCCUACGUCGUACGAGAGAGACAUCAUCAUCAUCUUGAUGUGACCUUAAUACAGAAAUAAAGAUUUUUUGUGAUAUGAAGCGAUGUUUGAUGAAGUCUCCUGAUCAUACCCGCAAGGGGAUUGUGACUCAGUUACAAUGCUAUGCAUAUCUUAUGAACAUGAUUAUCUUUAGCACAAACCCGUGGAUUAUACAAGUGGGAGAAACUCCAGGUUCAGAGUAGUAUGGAAGCGUUCGUAUCUCAAGCCAUGUCUAUUGAGGGCGCUUGUUCUUUCAAGGAUUCGAUCUAGGACCUCAUUUCGCUUACUCUGUACAAGUGAUUUGUCCUGUAUGGUUCGUGUUGUGAAUCCCACUAAUCUGACCCACGUUUUUAUGUUGGAUACAAAUUCCCGCAUCCCACAUCCUGUACCCAAGCUUCUGAAAGCGAAUGUUGUGUCAAACUCCAGAUCUGCAACCCGAUGAGCUAUGGAU
rnacentral:lncRNA from 1 species